rnacentral:rRNA from 1 species
UACGGAGGGUGCUAGCGUUGUUCGGAAUUACUGGGCGUAAAGCGCACGUAGGCGGCUUUGCAAGUUAGAGGUGAAAGCCCAGGGCUUAACCCUGGAAUUGCCUUUAAAACUGCAUCGCUAGAAUUGUGGAGAGGUAAGUGGAAUUCCGAGUGUAGAGGUGAAAUUCGUAGAUAUUCGGAAGAACACCAGUGGCGAAGGCGACUUACUGGACACAUAUUGACGCUGAGGUGCGAAAGCGUGGGGAGCAAACAGG